rnacentral:rRNA from 1 species
GACGAACGCUGGCGGCGUGCUUAACACAUGCAAGUCGAACGAAAAGAGGGAAAGAGCUUGCUCUUUCCGGAAUUGAGUGGCAAACGGGUGAGUAACACGUAAACAACCUGCCUUCAGGAUGGGGACAACAGACGGAAACGACUGCUAAUACCGAAUAAGUUCCAAGAGCCGCAUGGCCCAUGGAAGAAAAGGUGGCCUCUACCUGUAAGCUAUCGCCUGAAGAGGGGUUUGCGUCUGAUUAGCUGGUUGGAGGGGUAACGGCCCACCAAGGCGACGAUCAGUAGCCGGUCUGAGAGGAUGAACGGCCAAACUGGAAAUGGGACACGGUCCAGACUCCUACGGGAGGCAGCAGGGGGGAAUCUUCCGCCAUGGGCGAAAGCCUGACGGAGCAAAGCCGCGGGAGGGAUGACGGCCCUCGGGUUGGAAAACUCUGUGAUCCGGGACGAAAAGGCAGAGUGCGAAGAACAAACUGCAUUGACGGUACCGGAAAAGCAAGCCACGGCUAACUACGUG